rnacentral:rRNA from 1 species
AUUGAACGCUGGCGGCAUGCCUUACACAUGCAAGUCGAACGGUAACAGGUCUUCGGAUGCUGACGAGUGGCGAACGGGUGAGUAAUACAUCGGAACGUGCCCGAUCGUGGGGGAUAACGAAGCGAAAGCUUUACCAAUACCGCAUAAGAUCUACGGAUGAAAGCAGGGGACCGCAAGGCCUUGCGCGAACGGGGCGGCCGAUGGCAGAUUAGGUAGUUGGUGGGAUAAAAGCUUACCAAGCCGACGAUCUGUAGCUGGUCUGAGAGGACGACCAGCCACACUGGGACUGAGACACGGCCCAGACUCCUACGGGAGGCAGCAGUGGGGAAUUUUGGACAAUGGGCGAAAGCCUGAUCCAGCCAUGCCGCGUGCAGGAUGAAGGCCUUCGGGUUGUAAACUGCUUUUGUACGGAACGAAAAGACUCUUUCUAAUAAAGAGGGUCCAUGACGGUACCGUAAGAAUAAGCACCGGCUAACUACGUGCCAGCCGCCGCAGUAA